AGGCCUCUCUCCAUCCAGUUUUGAUGGAGGUAGCUCUGCCUGCCAUGUGGAUCCAGCCUCGGAGGGUCUCGGUCCAUCUCCAGCCGUCACCUUCCCAAAGACCCUCCUGGCCUCCUCUCCAUUCUGCGGGCCGAGAAGAACCCCAGGAGAGCAGCGGGGACCGGGAGCGAGGAGUGGGGGUGGCAAACCCUACCCUGCCUGCCACCUUCAGUCCAGUGGUGGACAAUACCUGGACCCCAUAGCUGCCAACUCGGGAAGCCGCGCCCCCCCCCAGGCUGGUUGAACUCAUGGACCUGAUACUUUUCUCUUGAGAAGCAAACCAGCCCAAAAGAAAAAUGGCGUUUGUUGCAACACAGGGGGCCACGGUGGUUGACCAGACCACUUUGAUGAAAAAGUACCUUCAGUUUGUGGCAGCUCUCACAGAUGUGAAUACACCUGAUGAAACAAAGUUGAAAAUGAUGCAAGAAGUUAGUGAAAAUUUUGAGAAUGUCACGUCAUCUCCUCAGUAUUCUACAUUCCUAGAACAUAUCAUCCCUCGAUUCCUUACAUU
rnacentral:lncRNA from 1 species